rnacentral:lncRNA from 1 species
AAAAUUAUGAAAUUAUUACUAACUUCUUUUUUUCUUUUUAGCCAAAGGAAAUCAGCCUAAUUUGAAGGGUAAUAUAAAGAUAAGCCAGUCUAUGAAGUCUCAAGGUUUAAUAUGGGUGCACAAUUUCAUUUCAUACUAAUCGGUCAUCUUUGUUACGUUGGAAAGCAGAUGCAGGAAAUGCUUCCAACCUAAGCUCAGCACUUCCAGCAUCACAACAUCUUCCUGCUUCUUGAACUGAAGACAGCACUGGAGAGAGAAUAUCAU